rnacentral:rRNA from 1 species
CGGGUCGUAAAGCUCUGUUGUUAGGGAAGAACAAGUAUCGGAGUAACUGCCGGUACCUUGACGGUACCUAACCAGAAAGCCACGGCUAACUACGUGCCAGCAGCCGCGGUAAUACGUAGGUGGCAAGCGUUGUCCGGAAUUAUUGGGCGUAAAGCGCGCGCAGGCGGUUCCUUAAGUCUGAUGUGAAAGCCCACGGCUUAACCGUGGAGGGUCAUUGGAAACUGGGGAACUUGAGUGCAGAAGAGAAGAGCGGAAUUCCACGUGUAGCGGUGAAAUGCGUAGAGAUGUGGAGGAACACCAGUGGCGAAGGCGGCUCUUUGGUCUGUAACUGACGCUGAGGCGCGAAAGCGUGGGGAGCGAACAGGAUUAGAUACCCUGGUAGUCCACGCCGUAAACGAUGAGUGCUAAGUGUUAGAGGGUUUCCGCCCUUUAGUGCUGCAGCAAACGCAUUAAGCACUCCGCCUGGGGAGUACGGCCGCAAGGCUGAAACUCAAAGGAAUUGACGGGGGCCCGCACAAGCGGUGGAGCAUGUGGUUUAAUUCGAAGCAACGCGAAGAACCUUACCAGGUCUUGACAUCCUCUGACACUCCUAGAGAUAGGACGUUCCCCUUCGGGGGACAGAGUGACAGGUGGUGCAUGGUUGUCGUCAGCUCGUGUCGUGAGAUGUUGGGUUAAGUCCCGCAACGAGCGCAACCCUUG